UACAGAGGGUGCAAGCGUUAAUCGGAUUUACUGGGCGUAAAGCGUGCGCAGGCGGUUUUGUAAGCCGGAUGUGAAAUCCCCGGGCUUAACCUGGGAAUGGCAUUCGGGACUGCAAGGCUGGAGUGCGGCAGAGGAGACUGGAAUUCCUGGUGUAGCAGUGAAAUGCGUAGAUAUCAGGAGGAACACCGAUGGCGAAGGCAGGUCUCUGGGCUGACACUGACGCUCAUGCACGAAAGCGUGGGAGCAAACAGG
rnacentral:rRNA from 1 species